rnacentral:rRNA from 1 species
AUUGAACGCUAGCGGGAUGCCUUACACAUGCAAGUAGAACGGAGUGGCGAACGGGUGAGUAAUGUAUCGGAAUGUGCCCCGUACAGGGGGAUAACUACGCGAAAGCGUAGCUAAUACCGCAUACUCUUGGAGCGGCCGAUAUCGGAUUAGCUAGUUGGUGGGGUAACGGCUCACCAAGGCGACGAUCCGUAGCUGGUUUGAGUGGACGACCAGCCACACGGGAACGGAGACAAGGCCCAGACUCCUACGGGAGGCAGCAGUGGGGAAUGUUGGACAAUGGGGGAAACCCUGAUCCAGCCAUCCCGCGUGUGCGAUGAAGGCCUUCGGGUUGUAAAGCACUUUUGGCAGGGAAGCGGUACCUGCAGAAUAAGCACCGGCUAACUACGUGCCAGCAGCCGCGGUAAUAC